rnacentral:rRNA from 1 species
UGCAGUCGAGCGCAGGAAGUCUCACGGAACUCUUCGGAGGGAAGUGGAGGGAAUGAGCGGCGGACGGGUGAGUAACACGUAAGGAACCUGCCCUCAGGACUGGGAUAACUCCGAGAAAUCGGAGCUAAUACCGAAUGGGUCUUCAGACCGCAUGGUCUGAUGAUGAAAGGCGCUCCGGCGUCACCCUUGGGGAUGGCCUUGCGGUGCAUUAGCUAGUUGGUGGGGUAAUGGCCCACCAAGGCGACGAUGCAUAGCCGACCUGAGAGGGUGAUCGGCCACACUGGGACUGAGACACGGCCCAGACUCCUACGGGAGGCAGCAGUAGGGAAUCUUCCACAAUGGACGAAAGUCUGAUGGAGCAACGCCGCGUGAAUGAUGAAGGUCUUCGGAUCGUAAAGCUCUGUUGUAAGGGAAGAACAAGUGCCACAGGUAAUGCUCGUACCUUGACGGUACCUUGCGAGAAAGCCACGGCUAACUACGUGCCAGCAGCCGCGGUAAUACGUAGGUGGCAAGCGUUGUCCGGAAUUAUUGGGCGUAAAGCGCGCGCAGGCGGCCUUUUAAGUCUGAUGUGAAAGCCCCCGGCUCAACCGGGGAGGGUCAUUGGAAACUGGGAGGCUUGAGUACAGGAGAGAAGAGUGGAAUUCCAUGUGUAGCGGUGAAAUGCGUANAGAUGUGGAGGAACACCAGUGGGCGAAGGCGACUCUUUGGCCUGUAACUGACGCUGAAGUGCGAAAGCGUGGGG